AGCUGGAAGAGAGAGGUUAAGGAUAAACAUUUUAGAGAGUCAGUUGCAAGAAGUGAACAUCAAUCUCCCUGUGAUGCAAGGAGUAAGAAAAUUCCUUGUCCUCAGAAGUCCUUAGUGAUCCUAAGGCAAGAAUGAAAAACCCAGCGGGAAUGAGUUGGGCACACAGGCUGAGUGGAGACUCCGGCAGUAGAAAGACCUUUCCAGAAGCAACAAAUAUAUGCCACCUCUGCGAUGGCCUACUUGACCUACCCAGAAGGCUGACUCUCUGGACUUCCGGCAGUUGUUCACUUGGCCUGCAUGCUGUUCCCCUGGCAUGCCAUGAUGGAAUCUAAGAAUAUCAGAGAAAAGAGAGAAAUGAAAACAGGGCACACACAAGGAACUGGAAAUGAGACUGGAACUGGACUCCUCAGCAGCAAUGUUGCAACAAGAGUAGAUCAAUGCCUUCAAAACUCUGGGAAAAAUUUAUUUUUACCUGGAAUUCUGUAUUUGUCUUCUUGAAGGCAUUGCUCCUUCGAUUCCUGACCACUGUGGGUUGCCACAGAGCACUUGACUUUGAUUCUCUUUGGCAUCUCUCCCUGCACGCAUUGUAAUCCACCUUCCUCUUCCUCUGAUAAAUCAUUUCUCACGCCUGCAUCCCCUUUCUGUUUUCAUGCUGUGUUUCACUCACAUACUUCCCAGUCAUAUUGAAGAUGCCGUUUGUAUUGCAGUUUCUCUUUCUUCUUGUUUUGGGGGAAUCUGCAAUUACCUAUAGAAAGGCCUUUUCCCUGCUCCCUUAAAAUGAAAAGAUUUCCCCCCCUGUUUUACUCAUUCAGUUUUUCAACAGCUACUUAUUGAUUGACUACUCUCAGCCAGGCUAAGGAAAUAAAACAAAAGUAAGGCCCUAAUGGCUUCCAUGACAACUUUUCGGCAAUUCCAAUUCUACUCUAUUCCUGCGGACAGAUGACAAGGUUAGGUGCUUAUUCUCAGGAAGACAAAAGAAAAGGCACAUUCCAAUUGUCAACACUCUGCAUCUUACACACACUCAUGCGGCUGCUGUUAUGCACACUUGCAUCUGUUCUCCGUGUUCUUUCUCCUGAUGGAAGCCUCUUUAGGGCAUCAGAAGCUGGAAAAUCCUUCCCAGUAGAUUCCCCCCGCGUUCUCACUCUAUUUUCAUUUGCCUGUACAUUUCUUAUCUUUGUCAAAUGAGUCAGCAAAAAUGUAACUGUUCCCUUAUUUGACUUGUUUCAUGUGUUUCAGUGUCUCACUGAAACGAAGUGGCCAGGGAUGCUGUUCCAAAGUCCAUGGCGUCUGCGCAGAUGGUGCCCACAUGGGAAGGUGUCUAUUCACCCCUCCUGCUCCAUCUGGACACCCGGGUGUUAGCUACAAAUGCUCAUUGGUUGGAUGCUUUGUAUACUUACACUUACAGAGCCUGUGGUUUUUUUAAAGCUGAAAUUUCUAAAAUCAAUA